UUCAGAUGUGUGCUCUACUGAUCUGUGGUUGCCUCGAGACCAAAGUAGGGGAGUAGAGAGGAAUGGGAGGGAGGAAUUCAAACGAAGUUUGUGGCAACAUUUGGGCAUCAUGGAUAUAUUCAUUAUCUUGAUUUGGGUAAUUGUUUCCUGGUUUCUGCCUAUGACCAGAGUUGCAAAGAGGUUAUAUUUUAAAUAUGUGCAGUUUAGGGGCACCUGGGUGGCUCAUUCGGUCGGUUAAGUGUCCUGACUCUUGAUUUUGGCUCAGGUUGUGAUCUCACAUCGCUUGUUAACAGUGCAUAGCCUGCCUGGGAUUCUCUCCUCUGUUUCUGUCUGUCUCUGUCUCUCUCUCUGCCCUGCCCCACUUGUGCGUGCUUGUCUCUCAAAAUAAAUAAACUUAAGAAAAUGUGCACUGUGUUUAUAUGUCAGUUAUAUCUAAAUAAAACUGUUAAGAAAAAGCAGGUCAUGUUUCGUUCAGAAAGUAGAAAGAUUACUGAUAAAAACUUAAGCCAUUAGACAAGUAAAGCAAAUUGCGUUCAUUAUAAGGAAUGUAUCGUGGAAGGUAUUUUAUGGGUUUUUAUGGGUUUAUUAUGUAAUUUUUAAAAAUCCGACCAAUAUUCAGGAACAGUAGUGGUUUCUUAUCAUACAUCAUACCACCUUAGGGUAACUUUCUUACAGACCUUUUUGACAUAUUUGCAAUGAAACAGUACGUAAGAGUUUGUGUUCUAUUUUCAUUUAAUAGAAUCUUCCUGUUUUUCUACCACAUUUUAAAAACCUAUUUUAAUGGUGGCACUUUUCAUUUUGUUUUGCACUAUUUAUUAAAUGAGUCCCUUAAUUUAUGGGACUGCUUUAUUGUGGUCUUAAGUAAGUGUUCUGUUUAUAGUGGAGUCCAGCAGAGUCUUAAAAAUCUGAAUUUUACUUUAAGAGUAGCAGUUUCCAUGCAAUCCUAUAAUAGUAGAAAAGCAUAAAAUUGUGUUGCACACGAAUUAGCAAUUGGGGCGCCUGGGUGGCUCAGUCGGUUAAGUGUCCAACUCUUGGUUUUGGCUUCAGGUCAUGAUCUCACCG